CUCUGAGCUUUGAAAGGUCUAGAACGACAAACGACAAUCAGUGAACACGGUGAAGUCUUGAUUGAAUGUGAACAACAUUUGAAAAUGGAAGAAAACCUACAGAAAUUCAAAUAGUCUUGUCAAAACCGUUCAAUUUGUAUAUUUAUCGAACGUUUGACGCCUGUAUUUGUAUAUACAAUUCGGGAUACAAUUUCAGCAUGCAAGACAAAACAACAAGUGGACGAUGUAGUGUCGGCUGUAAAAUGGCAAGACCUACACAUCUAGACCAUUUAUUAUCUACCAAGUCACUAGUGAAUCCAUCGAGCCCAUGAUGGGAGCAAGACAAAUUCGAUGAUGACGACGACUUCGACGUCGAGCGCCGUGAGAGAUUAUGGACUCAUGACUGACGGAAUUCUUAUACCAGAGUCACGAUGAGACGUGAGCAGGGCUUCGUUGCAUAAAAACUACUGUUAUGAUUAGGAUCUAACUAUUCACAAGCUCUGAUUUCUGGUGACCUCUUAUUUAACUUUCCCAUGUUUGCUAACAUUUCAUGCCUUUGAAGAGCCUUACGAGAGGAAGCGCGGAUGUCUCAGAGUAUUCAGAGAAAUAAAAAGGCACAGGUAAAAACAAUGAGAAAAGCGCAACAAAAUAUAAAAAAGGGUUAUCAUGAUGAAACACGAGAAGAAUAAGGAUUCCUUUCCUGGCCAUCAUUUCUUGACUCGCAUCAGACUGAACGCAUCGGAAACCAUGGCAACUCAAAUUUGAAGGAUUUUUUUUGUUGUUACUCAAUUAUGAAAAGCAAAAUUGUAUCAUUAUUAACCACUCAUUAUUCCUUCUUCAUGGAAUGUGCAUUAAUACUGAAUAUUGGGAAAAGGGGGAAGUGAAAUUGAAUUUUUUAAAAUCUGAAAUCUCAAUUUCUUUGGAAUAUGCAGUGUCCUUUGUAUGUUGUCCAGAUGACUUAGUGUCUGCUUGGAGUUAAAAUGUUCAAAAAACUUAAAAUGUUCAGUAAACUAUGAAAUCAACAUCGAUUCUCAAAUUUGUUAAUAUUCUUAACUCUUUAAUAUGACGGGGUUCAAUGUUAUUCCAAAUACAUUCAAUCCAUUAUGCAAAUGUGAAUGCAACAUACAUUUGUGGACUUUCAAACUCAAUCAGUCCUCGGUACAAUAAGGAGUUCACUACUUGAAAGAACCUAUUUCGCAACAUUAAUUUUUAUCUUUUUAUUUGGCUGCAUACUUAUCAGGACUGCGCAUCCCAUGAAAUAUUAUCAUCAAUGGAAAAUAAUCAAUACGAAAUGUAUUACCCCUAACCCAGUUGCAGAACUUUUGUGAGGGAUUAAUCAUGAUCCAUAUAACCCAAAUCAUUUAGUUCCGAUUGCCUUUUCCAUAAUGUAUCGAAUUGAUGAUGUGGAAUAGGUUCAUCGUGGUGAAGGAUUGAGUAGAAGAAAUAACCAGUUGUCUCACGAUGUAUCAAACAUCGCUUUCCU